rnacentral:rRNA from 1 species
GCAGUCGAGCGAACAGAUGAAGUGCUUGCACUUCUGACGUUAGCGGCGAACGGGUGAGUAACACGUAAGGAAUCUACCUAUAAGCGGGGGAUAACAUUCGGAAACGGGUGCUAAUACCGCAUAAUAUYUUCUUCCGCAUGGAAGAAGAUUGAAAGACGGCUCUGCUGUCACUUAUAGAUGACCUUGCGGUGCAUUAGUUAGUUGGUGGGGUAAUGGCCUACCAAGACGAUGAUGCAUAGCCGACCUGAGAGGGUGAUCGGCCACAUUGGGACUGAGACACGGCCCAAACUCCUACGGGAGGCAGCAGUAGGGAAUCUUCCGCAAUGGGCGAAAGCCUGACGGAGCAAUGCCGCGUGAGUGAAGAAGGCCUUCGGGUCGUAAAACUCUGUUAUAAGAGAAGAACAAAUUGUAGAGUAACUGCUACAGUCUUGACGGUAUCUUAUCAGAAAGCCACGGCUAACUACGUGCCAGCAGCCGCGGUAAUACGUAGGUGGCAAGCGUUGUCCGGAUUUAUUGGGCGUAAAGGGAGCGCAGGUGGUUUCUUAAGUCUGAUGUGAAAGCCCACGGCUUAACCGUGGAGGGUCAUUGGAAACUGGGAAACUUGAGUACAGAAGAGGAAUGUGGAACUCCAUGUGUAGCGGUGGAAUGCGUAGAUAUAUGGAAGAACACCAGUGGCGAAGGCGACAUUCUGGUCUGUUACUGACACUGAGGCUCGAAAGCGUGGGGAGCAAACAGGAUUAGAUACCCUGGUAGUCCACGCCGUAAACGAUGAGUGCUAGGUGUUGGAGGGUUUCCGCCCUUCAGUGCCGCAGUUAACGCAUUAAGCACUCCGCCUGGGGAGUACGACCGCAAGGUUGAAACUCAAAGGAAUUGACGGGGACCCGC